AAAACUUUUUCGAAAGAAAAAUCUGUUCUUAUCAGUUUAAUAUCUGAUACGUCCCCUCGUCGGGACUACAUAUUAAAUGGAUUUUUAGAUCACGGAGCUGGAGCCGGGGCUUGCUCCGUCCACUCCAUGCAUCGGCCUGGUAUUGCAGUGUCUCCAGGAACGGUGUGCUUUCC
rnacentral:snRNA from 1 species